GACGAACGCUGGCGGCGUGCUUAACACAUGCAAGUCGAACGGAAAGACCCUGCUUUUGUGGGGUGCUCGAGUGGCGAACGGGUGAGUAACACGUGAGUAACCUGCCCUUGACUUUGGGAUAACUUCAGGAAACUGGGGCUAAUACCGGAUAGGAGCUCCUGCUGCAUGGUGGGGGUUGGAAAGUUUCGGCGGUUGGGGAUGGACUCGCGGCUUAUCGGCUUGUUGGUGGGGUAGUGGCUUACCAAGGCUUUGACGGGUAGCCGGCCUGAGAGGGUGACCGGCCACAUUGGGACUGAGAUACGGCCCAGACUCCUACGGGAGGCAGCAGUGGGGAAUAUUGCACAAUGGGCGGAAGCCUGAUGCAGCAACGCCGCGUGCGGGAUGACGGCCUUCGGGUUGUAAACCGCUUUCGCCUGUGACGAAGCGUGAGUGACGGUAAUGGGUAAAGAAGCACCGGCUAACUACGUG
rnacentral:rRNA from 1 species